UACGAAGGGGGCGAGCGUUGUUCGGAAUUACUGGGCGUAAAGGGCGCGUAGGCGGCCCUCUUUGUCGCGUGUGAAAGCCCCGGGCUCAACCUGGGAACGGCGCGCGAAACGGGGGGGCUGGAGUUCGGGAGAGGAGCGUGGAAUUCCCAGUGUAGAGGUGAAAUUCGUAGAUAUUGGGAAGAACACCGGUGGCGAAGGCGGCGCUCUGGACCGAGACUGACGCUGAGGUGCGAAAGCGUGGGGAGCAAACAGG
rnacentral:rRNA from 1 species